rnacentral:rRNA from 1 species
ACCUACAAGUCGAGCAGGGUGGAAACACGGUCUUAGUGAUCCGACGGUGCCGCAUGGAAGGGCCGUCGCUCAACGGAUAAAAGUUACUCUAAGGAUAACAGGCUGAUCUCCCCCAAGAGUCCACAUCGACGGGGAGGUUUGGCACCUCGAUGUCGGCUCAUCGCAUCCUGGGGCUGUAGUCGGUCCCAAGGGUUGGGCUGUUCGCCGAUUAAAGCGGUACGUGAGCUGGGUUCAGAACGUCGGGUCGACGCGGCG